rnacentral:rRNA from 1 species
GACGAACGCUGGCGGCGUGCUUAACACAUGCAAGUCGAACGGAAAGGCCCUGCUUUUGUGGGGUGCUCGAGUGGCGAACGGGUGAGUAACACGUGAGUAACCUGCCCUUGACUUUGGGAUAACUUCAGGAAACUGGGGCUAAUACCGGAUAGGAGCUCCUGCUGCAUGGUGGGGGUUGGAAAGUUUCGGCGGUUGGGGAUGGACUCGCGGCUUAUCAGCUUGUUGGUGGGGUAGUGGCUUACCAAGGCAUUGACCGGUAGCCGGCCUGGGAGGGUGACCGGCCACAUUGGGACUGAGAUACGGCCCAGACUCCUACGGGAGGCAGCAGUGGGGAAUAUUGCACAAGGGGCGGAAGCCUGAUGCAGCAACGCCGCGUGCGGGAUGACGGCCUUCGGGUUGUAAACCGCAUUCGCCUGUGACGAAGCGUGAGUGACGGUAAUGGGUAAAGAAGCACCGGCUAACUACGUG